rnacentral:lncRNA from 10 species
AUUUUCCACUCCUUCUUUAGCCUCCCUAGGAGAUGCCCGGUGACUUCUAUUUUCAGAAGAUAGAUAUUUAAGUCACAAUAUUCUGGACUCUGGCUUAGUUAGACCAACCGUCUCUUGAUCGUCUGUGGAAACUGAAUCAGGAACACCCCAGAGAGCUGGCUCUGGAUGUAAUUCACAGCUUCAUUUAAUUAUUAUCAUCAAAGUUAAUGAAGGCCAUAAACUGUUUCAUAACAUACCAAUGGGAAGUGUGAUUGGAGGGAAAGCUGGACACCUCACCAUAAAACUGGCACAGCAGAAACGGCUCGACUUAACAAAACCUUCUUAUGAAGAAAAAGACAAUGAAACCAUGUUCAGUUUAGUGAACCUUUCACACUUGGCAACAUGAAUGUUAAGUCAAAAGAACAAUGGAGCUAUGAGUUUUUUUAAUCAAAUUUUUAUUUUGGGUCAAAUAAGCCAUUUUGUUUGUUUGUUAUUAAGUGUAAAGAGAGCUUUCGGUUAGCUAUUUAGUUAUAACUUUAUCUCACCCACUUCUAAAAAAGCGUUGAGGCUACUUGAAGUAAAGUCCUGUAGACGAGAGAGCGUAACACUAAAAGAUAGAAAGAAAACUUAGAAGAUGGAAGAGAAAUAAUUGCACUAGAAACCUGGCCAAUAUCAUGAACAGGCUCCAUAUAGGGACUCCUGUAUAUAGAUCGCUGUGUGUGUGGAUAGUACGUUCAAUAAAUGUAUUAUCUGAACUGCUUUUAAAGUUCUACUCUUGGAUUCCUGAAAUACUAUCUCUAUGGAUUUGCCUAUUCUGGAUGCUUCAUAUAGAUGGAAUCAUUCAUUACGCAACCCUUUGUAUCUGGCUUCUUUCAUUUAGCAUGAGGCUUUCCAG